AACGAACGCUGGCGGCAUGCCUAACACAUGCAAGUCGAACGAGAUCUUCGGGUCUAGUGGCGCACGGGUGCGUAACGCGUGGGAAUCUGCCCUUUGGUUCGGAAUAACAGUUGGAAACGACUGCUAAUACCGGAUGAUGACGAAAGUCCAAAGAUUUAUCGCCAGGGGAUGAGCCCGCGUAGGAUUAGCUAGUUGGUGUGGUAAAGGCGCAUCAAGGCGACGAUCCUUAGCUGGUCUGAGAGGAUGAUCAGGCACACUGGGACUGAGACACGGCCCAGACUCCUACGGGAGGCAGCAGUGGGGAAUAUUGGACAAUGGGCGAAAGCCUGAUCCAGCAAUGCCGCGUGAGUGAUGAAGGCCUUAGGGUUGUAAAGCUCUUUUACCCGGGAUGAUAAUGACAGUACCGGGAGAAUAAGCUCCGGCUAACUCCGUGCCAGCCGCCGCCGUAA
rnacentral:rRNA from 1 species